CCUACGGGUGGCAGCAGUAGGGAAUCUUCCACAAUGGGCGAAAGCCUGAUGGAGCAACGCCGCGUGGGUGAAUAAGGGCUUCGGAUCGUAAAACCCUUUUGUUAGAGAAGAAAGUGCGUGAGAGUAACUGUUCACGUUUCGACGGUAUCUAACCAGAAAGCCACGGCUAACUACGUGCCAGCAGCCGCGGUAAUACGUAGGUGGCAAGCGUUAUCCGGAUUUAUGGGGCGUAAAGGGAACGCAGGCGGUCUCUUAAGUCUGAUGUGAAAGCCUUCGGCUUAACCGGAGUAGUGCAUUGGAUACUGGGAGACUUGAGUGAAGAAGAGGAGAGUGGAACUCCCUGUGUAGCAGUGAAAUGCGUAGAUAUAUGGAGGAACACCAGUGGCGAAAGCGGCUCUCUGGACUGUAACUGACGCUGAGGUUCGAAAGCGUGGGUAGCAAACAGGAUUAGAUACCCUAGUAGUC
rnacentral:rRNA from 1 species